rnacentral:tRNA from 1 species
ACAUAUUUAGUAUAAAAAAUACAUCAGAUUUAGAUUCUGAGGAUAAAUAUAUGUU